UACAGAGGUCUCAAGCGUUGUUCGGAAUUACUGGGCGUAAAGGGUGCGCAGACGGCUAGACAAGUCAAAGGUGAAAUCCCUCGGCUCAACUGAGGAACUGCCUUUGAAACUGUCUGGCUUGAGGCCGGGAGGGGGUAGCGGAAUUCCCAGUGUAGCGGUGAAAUGCGUAGAUAUUGGGAGGAACACCAGUGGCGAAGGCGGCUACCUGGACCGGUUCUGACGCUGAUGCGCGAAAGCGUGGGUAGCAAACAGG
rnacentral:rRNA from 1 species